UUGACAGCCCUGGAAAUUGAACUUCUUUAUUUAUUGACAGCCUGCACACAGCAUAGGAGUGCAAGUUUCUCUCACUGCUAAGCAAACAUACUUUUUACCUGGACAGAAGAAACUACUUUUUCUGAAGGAAAUAGAAUUUAUUCAUCAUAUCCUUGGACACUCUAUGAAAUGUCAGA
rnacentral:sRNA from 12 species